AGAGAGGAUAGGGAGAGGGGAGGAUAGGGAGAGGAGAGAAGGAGGGGAGGUGGAGAGAGGAUAGGUAGAGGAGAGCCUAUCACAAGAUGGAGUUGAAAGAGGAGACACGCUCCGUGGAAGAGAGGGAGAUGAACAUCAGGAUAGAAGUUAAUAAAUGUUAUGUUUCCUGGUCCUCUGGGCCAAUGAGAGGGCCUGGAGCAGGCACAUGACUGAUGAGGGACCAAUCAGAGACUUUCACUGUAUGCAUCAAAGUAGUGGAGUGUGACACAACACCACAUACCUUCACUGUUGCAUUCAUAUCACACACACACACAGACACACACACAGACGCCACACACACACACACACACACACGUGAAUGAAUGUCUGCUUACUGUACCAGGGGCUAUAUCAGAACAACCCUUACAGGUACAUCCUCUAAUUUUAUAUAUUACUAGCAUGAGACUGAUACGCAUAGCCCAACACCCAUCACCCUAACCUGUGAUGAAAACACAUGAGACUGAUACGCAUAGCCCAACACCCAUCACCCUAACCUGUGAUGAAAACACUUGUGGAUGGAUCUGACCUGACCUGUCUCCAGGGUCACUACAGGACCAUCCCUGUGGUUUACAUAGCCUUAAAAUCACAGCGCUAACCCCCAUCCCUCCUCAGACCAUCACAAACACAGGGAUAUGUACCUGAACUGGGAAGAAAAUGGCUGCCUAUUGGCCCUGGUUAAAAUGAUUUCACUGUAUAGUGAUAGAUGAACACACGCAGACAAUAAAAACAGGUGAGGUUUGUGAGGUGCUAGAGUUACAGAGUUAGUUAGUUGACAGGGUGUAGUACAGACUAGGGUGAGGUACUAGAGUUAGUUAGUUGACAGGGUGUAGUACAGACUAGGGUGAGGUACUAGAGUUAGUUAGUUGACAGGGUGUAGUACAGACUAGGGUGAGGUACUAGAGUUAGUUAGUUGACAGGGUGUAGUACAGACUAGGGUGAGGUACUAGAGUUAGCUAGUUGACAGGGUGUAAUACAGACUAGGGUGAGGUACUAGAGAGUUAGUUGACAGGGUGUAGUACAGACUAGGGUGAGGUACUAGAGUUAGUUAGUUGACAGGGUGUAGUGCAGACUAGGGUGAGGUACUAGAGUUAGUUAGUUGACAGGGUGUAGUACAGACUAGGGUGAGGUACUAGAGUUAGUUAGUUGACAGGGUGUAGUACAGACUAGGGUGAGGUACUAGAGUUAGUUAGUUGACAGGUGUAGUACAGACUAGGGUGAGGUACUAGAGUUAGUUAGUUGACAGGGUGUAGUACAGACUAGGGUGAGGUACUAGAGUUAGUUAGUUGACAGGGUGUAGUACAGACUAGGGUGAGGUACUAGAGUUAGUUAGUUGACAGGGUGUAGUACAGACUAGGGUGAGGUACUAGAGUUAGUUAGUUGACAGGGUGUAGUACAGACUAGGGUGAGGUACUAGGUUAGUUAGUUGACAGGGUGUAGUACAGACUAGGGUGAGGUACUAGAGUUAGUUAGUUGACAGGGUGUAGUACAGACUAGGGUGAGGUACUAGAGUUAGUUAGUUGACAGGGUGUAGUAUAGACUAGGGUGAGGUACUAGAGUUAGUUAGUUGACAGGGUGUAGUACAGACUAGGGUGAGGUACUAGAGUUAGUUAGUUGACAGGGUGUAGUACAGACUAGGGUGAGGUACUAGAGUUAGUUAGUUGACAGGGUGUAGUACAGACUAGGGUGAGGUACUAGAGUUAGUUAGUUGACAGGGUGUAGUACAGACUAGGGUGAGGUACUAGAGUUAGUUGACAGGGUGUAGUACAGACUAGGGUGAGGUACUAGAGUUAGUUAGUUGACAGGGUGUAGUACAGACUAGGGUGAGGUACUAGAGUUAGUUAGUUGACAGGGUGUAGUACAGACUAGGGUGAGGUACUAGAGUUAGUUAGUUGACAGGGUGUAAUACAGACUAGGGUGAGGUACUAGAGUUAGUUAGUUGACAGGGUGUAGUACAGACUAGGGUGAGGUACUAGAGUUAGUUAGUUGACAGGGUGUAGUACAGACUAGGGUGAGGUACUAGAGUUAGUUAGUUGACAUUGUGUAGUACAGACUAGGGUGAGGUACUAGAGUUAGUUAGUUGACAGGGUGUAGUACAGACUAGGGUGAGGUACUAGAGUUAGUUAGUUGACAGGGUGUAGUACAGACUAGGGUGAGGUACUAGAGUUAGUUAGUUGACAGGGUGUAGUACAGACUAGGGUGAGGUACUAGAGUUAGUUAGUUGACAGGGUGUAAUGCAGACUAGGGUGAGGUACUAGAGUUAGUUAGUUGACAGGGUGUAAUGCAGACUAGGGUGAGGUACUAGAGUUAGUUAGUUGACAUUGUGUAGUACAGACUAGGGUGACGUACUAGAGUUAGUUAGUUGACAGGGUGUAGUACAGACUAGGGUGACGUACUAGAGUUAGUUAGUUGACAGGGUGUAGUACAGACUAGGGUGAGGUACUAGAGUUAGUUGACAGGGUGUAGUACAGACUAGGGUGAGGUACUAGAGUUAGUUAGUUGACAGGGUGUAAUACAGACUAGGGUGAGGUACUAGAGAGUUAGUUGACAGGGUGUAGUACAGACUAGGGUGAGGUACUAGAGUUAGUUGACAGGGUGUAGUACAGACUAGGGUGAGGUACUAGGUAGUUAGUUGACAGGGUGUAAUACAGACUAGGGUGAGGUACUAGAGUUAGUUAGUUGACAGGGUGUAGUACAGACUAGGGUGAGGUACUAGAGUUAGUUAGUUGACAGUGUGUAGUACAGACUAGGGUGAGGUACUAGAGUUAGUUAGUUGACAUUGUGUAGUACAGACUAGGGUGAGGUACUAGAGUUAGUUAGUUGACAGGGUGUAGUACAGACUAGGGUGAGGUACUAGAGUUAGUUAGUUGACAGGGUGUAGUACAGACUAGGGUGAGGUACUAGAGUUAGUUAGUUGACAGGGUGUAGUACAGACUAGGGUGAGGUACUAGAGUUAGUUGACAGGGUGUAGUACAGACUUGGGUGUGGGGUGUUUUACUGUCAGAUGGCUGUGUGAACAGAACAGAGCUGUGUGGGCUUAAUGGUUACGGCAUCGGCCCUCUCCACUUCAGCCUGAGGGACUGUGUGCUCCUAUACAGUACACUAUACUCAUGACAUAACCUUUAACCUCCUCUCUAGAUUUUAUAUUUAUUCAUGUAUUUAUUUUGCCAACUUAAGUUUCUCUUUUCAACUGUUACUGCAGAUACUGUUUGCCUGUACGUCUACAUGGAAUGGAAAUAGCCAAACAUUGACUAGUUUGUUUUUUAUUGUUGUUGUUGGGGGGGGGGCAGUCAUUUAGACCUUUUUUAUAAAUCUCAUGUCCAGUCUUGUCCAAUCUUGAUGAACAAAUGUUAGAGCAUGUUAACUACCAGGUAAUGUUUAGAAGCGUCUGUCUCACCCCUAGCAUUACCACAAACACACGGGUGUUAUAAUGAUCAUGUCAUACUCGACUUCUGUCGGCUGUCAAUCAUCCUCUUACUGAGACCUGACUCUCAUGUUAGCCCCGCCCAAAAGUUCCACCAUUGCUCUCAUUGGUGGAGUUUGUUUUGCAUGGCCCCGGUGCCUUGUGUGGGUGGAGAUUUCACUUAAGGACCAAUGGAAUGGUCUAAAAUGAACAAACCCGGGUCACCGGACCAUGCAAAAUUAACUCGACCAGUCAUUGGGCGUUCUGUGAAUGUCACAAAUAUUACCUGCCUGCCAUUGGCUGGAAGAGAAAAUUGAAAGGUGGGCCAUCCAAUAAUAUCACAUAGAUGGAGAAGGGGGUGGAUGGAGUAUGCACCACGUGCCAAGUAAUGCAGUGUUCACUUUCUAGAUUUCUUGAUUUGUUCCUGUCUUUCAUUUUGUUUCUUUUUUUGUUUUGUUUUGUUUUUUUGACAAGUGAACUCUGACACUCAAACUGUUUUAAUCUUACUGUAAGUUAGAAAACCACCACAGCAGUUUGUAAAGAAAAUCCUAACACCAGAGCAUGUAUUUACAGUAUACAAUCAAACUAAGCUAGACCUUGAGUUGUGCAUUUUUAUGUAUGUACUGUCAAAUAUGAAAAGAUUAAUAUACGUAAAGUAUGUAUCAUUAAUAUUAUAAUGCUGCGAAAAUGUUGAAAAUACUUGUACAAAUAUUAGAAUUUUGUAUAUAAAAUAUUAAUGAAUAAUC